rnacentral:rRNA from 1 species
UGGAUCCAGACUUUGAUUCUGGCUCAGGAUGAACGCUGGCGGCGUGCUUAACACAUGCAAGUCGAACGGGGUUACCAUUUUUGAAGCGAUUAGCUUGCUAAGAGUGGAAAUGUUGGUAACCUAGUGGCGGACGGGUGAGUAACGCGUGGGUAACCUGCCUUGCACGGGGGGAUAACACUUAGAAAUAGGUGCUAAUACCGCAUAAGCGCACGGGACUGCAUGGUCCAGUGUGAAAAACUGAGGUGGUGCAGGAUGGACCCGCGUCUGAUUAGCUAGUUGGCGGGGUAACGGCCCACCAAGGCGACGAUCAGUAGCCGGCCUGAGAGGGUGGACGGCCACAUUGGGACUGUGACACGGCCCAAACUCCUACGGGAGGCAGCAGUGGGGGAUAUUGGACAAUGGGGGGAACCCUGAUCCAGCGACGCCGCGUGAGUGAAGAAGUAUUUCGGUAUGUAAAGCUCUGUCAGCAGGGAAGAAAAGAAUGACGGUACCUGACCAAGAAGCCCCGGCUAACUACGUGCCAGCAGCCGCGGUAAUACGUAGGGGGCAAGCGUUAUCCGGAAUUACUGGGUGUAAAGGGAGCGUAGACGGUAGUGCAAGUCUGGAGUGAAAGGCGGGGGCCCAACCCCCGGACUGCUCUGGAAACUGUAUAACUGGAGUGCAGGAGAGGUAAGCGGAAUUCCUAGUGUAGCGGUGAAAUGCGUAGAUAUUAGGAGGAACACCAGUGGCGAAGGCGGCUUACUGGACUGUAACUGACGUUGAGGCUCGAAAGCGUGGGGAGCAAACAGGAUUAGAUACCCUGGUAGUCCACGCCGUAAACGAUGAUUACUAGGUGUCGGUGGGUAUGGGCCCAUCGGUGCCGCAGCAAACGCAGUAAGUAAUCCACCUGGGGAGUACGUUCGCAAGAAUGCAAGGUCAAAUGAAUUGACGGA